UCCUCUAAAUUGAGUUCCCUCCCACCAUUUCAAUUUUCAAUUUUUCAUCUAUAGAUAAUUAGAUACUAUAUAGCAACACGGUUUCACAUUUUCCUCUUUCACCAACAAAACCUCCUUUUCUUUCCCUCUUAUUCUUCUAUGGUUUUGAGAAUAAAGUGUUAAAGUAGCGAGAGAAACUUUUACCUCUCGAUAUGCUCACGUUGGUCUACAGAUUGUAGCUACCAUGAUGCCUGAUGAAUAUAGGUGAAAAAAGAUUUGGAUACUAUUAUAGAUACAAUUGUUGAAUGAGGAAAUAAGGCAAUUGCGACAAGUGAAAGAAACAAAAAGAUUAGAGAAAGAAAAAGAAAGAGCAGAGAAACUCAAAAUGAUGGAGCAAUUUAAGGAAAAUUGGAUUGCAAAUGCCGAAAUGAAAGAACGAGUUCAAUUCACAAGUAGACAUUCAAAUUGAUGAAUGUGAUGUGUUUACUUGGAAGGGAUCAUUUUAAUAUUUCGUCUUAUAAUGAUUUCAGGACAAGAAACAAUAUAAAGCAUGGGGAACAAUACUAGGCUAAAGAGAUAACUUUGUUGUGCAUUAAAAAAAGAAGAGGUAAUACGGUUUUGGUUGCAAGUAUGAAUUGAAGACGUUGGUAUUGGGUUGCAAGUAUGAUGACAUCGGUUCGGGACGCUAUUGUAUAUCACUUUCAUCAUCUUUAGAGAUAUAUGUAUUUAUGUUACUUUAAAACUCUUGUAAUCUUAUGUUAUUUUGAAACCUUUGUAAUUUGUAUUCUUAGAUUCUAUUAUAUUGGUUCUAAUUUAAUUUUGUUUUUUGUA